AUAUAAAUUUGAAUUUUGAUUAUAAUAAUCUUUUAAAACUUACUAAAAAGAUAAUAUCUCAUAUAAAUUGAAACAGAGUGAGUAAAAAAAUAUAUAUAACUCUCGUCUUUUCGAAAGAUAGUCUCUCGAACAAGUAAAGUAAAUUUAUAUUUUGGUCUAAUUUCAUGUGCUCACAAUAUGUGAAUAUAUAUAUAUGCUUGAGCAGUAAGGCAAAGGCAGGAAUUUGAUCUCGCUUUCUAAUGAAAUAUUCUUUCCAAAUUAGUAUAUACAUAGCCCCAACCAACACAAGUAAAUAUAGUUUGUGCUUCAAGUUUUUUCUGAGUCCAACAUUGAAAUUUCAAUUAAAUUCGUAUCAAAUAUUACAAAGCUUAUUUUGAAGUGGCGUUCUCAAUUAUACUCAAAGCUCAAAUCUAAGACCUUUAAUUAAUGGUGAAUCAUUUCUACCAAUAAACCAUAACUCUGACAGGCUUUUAUAAUUAGAAGUGCAAUUAAGCUCUCUUUGCUUUGCUUAAUUACAUAAAAGAUUUUUUUUUUUUAAAAAAAGUUAGGCUUUCUAAUAUAUGUCGAUAUCUCCAAAGUAACCGCCCUAUGUUUUUUUAUGAUGACUAGAAAACCACUUUGCUAGCCUAGCUCUUUGUUUUUCUCGAUAUAACUUUUGGCAGGUAAUUCAUAUUAGUUCAAUUGCACUUUUAUCAAGACUUUGCAUGUGUAUUUGUUUCUAUUAAACCCAAUCAAAACCUCUGCUCCAAAUUAAAGUGCCAUUUCAUUUCAUUUCUUUCACUGAGUUUCAAUUUUCUAGUAUUCCAACAAAAAAAAAACAAGAAAACUAAAGAAGCUGCAUGAUCCAAUGCUUAUCGUGAGAAUGAUGUUUGGGUCUGUAGCAAGAACGACAAGGGCAUUUAUGAUCCAACCGGUUUCGACCAUGACAACAUUGUUGUACUACAGCGAUCGCCUCCCUCGUAACCUCAAUUUGGACCGGCUUGUUCGUAAUGACUUAAUUGAUAGUGGAAACUAUUUGUUUCGUUUUCUUAUUCACUUUUUGAGAUGUUUUUGGUAGUUUCAUUUUCACUUAAUUAACCAAAGUGAAGUCUUGAAGCAACAAUAAAUAAAGUGAGUUCGAGCCGUGAAAGUUGUAACUCAUGUUUAUAUUAGGAUUAGGGAUGUUUUGUACGUUGAAUUAACAUUUACUUUACUUAGUUAACUGAUUUCAAAUAUCUUUUAACUUCUACCAAUCUGUAUGAUAUAUUGAAUAUUAUUUGAAAAAAAGAUUAAAAUUU